rnacentral:rRNA from 1 species
AUGGACGUGAAGUUGUUCUUGGUUCCAAAGUUAGAUCAUGUGUUCCACAGAAGAUUUUUUCUUUGGCAAACUGAAGCCCUCAAAAAGGGAUGUAUUUUUUUAUUAAUUCAGCAUCCCAGCGCAGCGUAUAGAAAGGAUCUUUCCCAGAGGAAAGUCAAUGGCUUCAUAAGUCAACCUGGCAUUACAUCGAGAAGAUUUGCUGUAGAUAUGAGAGCAGUUACUAGUAGAAGAUCUACACUUGCUAUGGCGGCAGCGGCAAGAAAACCGAUAGAGAAGCCAGGACAUUGGAGUAUCAAACCAGAGCUUUAUAUUGAACAGUUUUGCUAA